UUAUACAGAAGUAAAAUUUACAGUUAAUUUCGAUUUAAUAGAUAAGAUUGAUGGUCUUCGUAUAAG
rnacentral:tRNA from 1 species